UACGUAGGGGGCAAGCGUUGUCCGGAAUCAUUGGGCGUAAAGAGCGCGUAGGCGGUCCGGUAAGUCCGCUCUGAAAGUCCGGGGCUCAACCCCGGGAGGCGGGCGAAUACUGUCGGGCUAGAGUCCGGAAGAGGCGAGUGGAAUUCCUGGUGUAGCGGUGAAAUGCGCAGAUAUCAGGAGGAACACCAAUGGCGAAGGCAGCUCGCUGGGACGGUACUGACGCUGAGGCACGAAAGCGUGGGGAGCAAACAGG
rnacentral:rRNA from 1 species